CAGCUGCCCCGGACAGCCGGGCGCUGAGUAAGGACCCGGCAGGGCGCCGCAGAGAGCGCUUUUAGCCUGUGUUGUCUACCGCCCACCUCGCCUCACCAGGCCGGCUCUUCUAGAGAACCGCUUAGCCCUCCCGGGUCUGCAAGUGGCCAGACCUGCUCCUGUGAGGCUUUCUCAGGAGCUUCCUCAAAAUCCAGCGUUUCUGAAGCUUAGGAACAGACGCUUUCUGUGUUGUUCUGAAAAACGCUUGUAAGGAGAAGAAUUCUUGCUAUGGAAGAGCUCAGGAGAGGCCACAGUUGAACUCAGACACCAGGAGAGAGAGACUUUGAAUCUGCCUGAAAGCCAUUCUAUUUUUGAUGACAAUGUGCAGACAAAUACUUUGAAGUUUGUCUUUGGAUGGAAGUUAGGGAGAGAUGAAAAUUUAAGAGAAGCAGCACUAUGCGGGCAAAGGAUUAGGAGCAAACAGUCAAACAUUUUUUCCUAA
rnacentral:lncRNA from 1 species